UUUAGAUCUUUAGUAGUCAAAGA
rnacentral:snRNA from 1 species